GGAGAACUCCAGAUCAAGUCGAACUGUGUGUGACUCAGGGGCCCGGAGAAAAUGUGGGUAGAGGAAACGUGGGGUGGGGGGUGGGGGGCAGCUUCCUGGAUUUCUGAUGCAGGAAGAAACCACCGAUGAGAGGGAGGGCAGAUAGGGGAAGGGCGAGGAAGGGGGCUGAGAAGGAGAAAGAGAGGCCAGGGACUCCGGGCAGGGCCUCCUGGAGGGGAGGAGGGAGGGCGGGUAGGUGGAUAGAAAGCUGGGCUUUCUUUGUUUUGUUUGUGUGGGCAGGGCUGGGCCAUGAAUCCACCUCGUCUGCACUGUGAGGUCAGCUGCCCAGCGAGGUAACAGCUGGCACCUGUGUGCGAAAUGCAGCGUGCAUUAGCAGCAUCAUUACUUAGCAUUAGAGCAUUACAAAGAUAAUUAGAGAAGCAGAGGACAGCGGGAAUUGAAACCGCAGCCCCCUUGGCUUCUCAAACGCACAGGUUACAACUGUAAUUUCAAGGAUUUACAGGGCCACCUUGCACAGCGCAGCUAGGCUGUGACUUGAAGAGGACUCCAAGGAGACUGUAACUGUGGCCAGUGUGGGACAGGACUCCUGCCCAGGCCUCAGCUUGGCUCAGAAGUCAAAUUAAGGUCACAUAGGAGCACUGGCGCCAGAGGGCUGAGAAGGUGCACCAGUUUCUUGGCAUUUUCUUCCACUUUUUUUAAAUGUUUUUGUUUGUUUGUUUUUCCAGUCCCAGAGGUGAACCCAGGGUGGGAGCUGGGGUUCUGCCCCUUAGCCACAUCCUGGCGCCUGGAGGAUAAGAGAAUUUCACCAAGCACUCAAUUCUAACAGAAAAGCAAGGGGAACUGAGUUGGGUUUUCUGUAGCCUGAGAAUUCUGUGUCUGCUGGCUUUCCAGGCACACAUUCUCUCUACAUGCAUGUUCAUUGCAGUCAAAAGUGCCAGUCAAGAUUGAUGGGGGCAACUUGGAAAGAAAGAGAUAGAUAGCUCCAGAGUCAGGAUGGCUCCUUUUAUCAGAACAACUGAAGGACCACUGUCUCCUGGAGUGGAGGCUGCGCUCACUCCUGGAUCAGGGGCAUCAGGGGCUUAUGGGGCAGGAAAGGAAGGGAUGAGGGGUUCAUAUGCAGACCAGAGUGGUAGAUAUCAACAGAGCCAGCCUCCUGGAUCCCUGACAUCAAGGAAGUCGACUU
rnacentral:lncRNA from 1 species